rnacentral:rRNA from 1 species
UACGGAGGGGGCAAGCGUUAUUCGGAAUUAUUGGGCGUAAAGGGCGCGUAGGCGGCUAGAUGUGUCAAAGGUGAAAUCCCUCGGCUCAACUGAGGAACUGCCUUUGAAACUGUCUGGCUUGAGGCCGGGAGAGGGUAGCGGAAUUCCCAGUGUAGCGGUGAAAUGCGCAGAUAUCGGGAAGAACACCCGUGGCGAAGGCGGCUCUCUGGGACGGUACUGACGCUGAGACGCGAAAGCGUGGGGAGCGAACAGG